CAGCAGCCGCGGUAACACGAAGGGUGCAAGCGUUACUCGGAAUUACUGGGCGUAAAGCGUGCGUAGGUGGUGGUUUAAGUCCGUUGUGAAAGCCCUGGGCUCAACCUGGGAAUUGCAGUGGAUACUGGAUCACUAGAGUGUGGUAGAGGAUAGUGGAAUUUCCGGUGUAGCAGUGAAAUGCGUAGAGAUCGGGGGGAACAUCAGUGGCGAAGGCGGCCAUCUGGGACAACACUGACGCUGAAGCACGAAAGCGUGGGGAGCAAACAGGAUUAGAUACCCCUGUAGUCCCUGUCUCUUAUAC
rnacentral:rRNA from 1 species